AGUCGGACCUGCCCGGUGAGAAAUUUUCUUUAACGGCCGCGGUACUCUGACCGUGCAAAGGUAGCAUAAUCAUUUGCCUUAUAAUUAAAGGCUAGUAUGAAUGGUUUGACAAGAAUGUAGCUGUCUCUCUAUUGAUUUAAUAGAAUUUUAUUUUUAGGUGAAAAAGCCUAGAUUAAAUUAAAAGACAAGAAGACCCUAUCGAGCUUUAAAGAAUUUAAUGGAUAAUUAAUUUUAUAUAAAACCUAUAGAUAUCAUAAAAGGUGUUGCUAUUAAUUAUUUUGGUUGGGGCGACUGAGGAACAUAAAAAGCUUCCUUCAAAAUAAAGUGACGUACUAGUAUUGAUCCAAAUUUAUUGAUUAAGGGAAUUAGUUACCGUAGGGAUAACAGCAUUAUCUUCCUUGAGAGUUCAUAUCGAAAGGAGGGUUUGUGACCUCGAUGUUGGACCAGAAUGUCCUAAAGAUGCAGAAGUCUUUGAGGGUUGGUCUGUUCGACCAUUAAAAUUCUA
rnacentral:rRNA from 1 species